rnacentral:rRNA from 1 species
GAUGAACGCUGGCGGCGUGCCUAAUACAUGCAAGUCGAGCGAAUGGAUUAAGAGCUUGCUCUUAUGAAGUUAGCGGCGGACGGGUGAGUAACACGUGGGUAACCUGCCCAUAAGACUGGGAUAACUCCGGGAAACCGGGGCUAACACCGGAUAACAUUUUGAACCGCAUGGUUCGAAAUUGAAAGGCGGCUUCGGCUGUCACUUAUGGAUGGACCCGCGUCGCAUUAGCUAGUUGGUGAGGUAACGGCUCACCAAGGCAACGAUGCGUAGCCGACCUGAGAGGGUGAGCGGCCACACUGGGACUGAGACACGGCCCAGACUCCUACGGGAGGCAGCAGUAGGGAAUCUUCCGCAAUGGACGAAAGUCUGACGGAGCAACGCCGCGUGAGUGAUGAAGGCUUUCGGGUCGUAAAGCUCUGUUGUUAGGGAAGAACAAGUGCUAGUUGAAUAAGCUGGCACCUUGACGGUACCUAACCAGAAAGCCACGGCUAACUACGUGCCAGCCGCCGCAGUAA